UCGGGUUCUGCCCUGACGACGGCGGCAGAACGGCGUCUAGCCGUCUUCCAUUGCGUCUGCUGCCGCAGUUUCCGAUCUCGCCGCCGCCAGCUGCGGCACGCCGGCGCUGCGGCAGGAAGUGUCACCACGAGAUUUUGGCUAGUUUGCCAUCCGGAAAUCGUUGAUCAGCCGCAAAUCCGGUUCCUUCCCCGCUCCACCGGCGACUUGAAGCCGAUGGUUAGGGAUGCAGAGGGGAUGGAUCAUGGAUGGGGCAGCACAACUCUUGGCGGCUUGGCGCCCAGCCGCGGCCCGCCUGUCAUCGAUGGAGGCACGUGCGGAGUGGUUGCUGCUUUCUUCGUAGCUGGUUCAUCAGCGGGGAGCCGGAGACCGCCAAGGAACCAAAAAUGAACUUACCAGACGGCAGCUGCCACGUCAAGAGGAAGCCAUUGCUGAUGAGUUGCUCAUAGUCGCUUGCGCUCACCUUGCCGAAUGUCCCCAGCACUGGCACAAGAGUAGUGCUACAACCCUCAACUGAGUACUGCGUGUAGUUGCUCGAGUCAUUGUAAUGCCCUCCAACUGCAACGCGAACUAACAAGUUGCUGCUGCAUUUCGUCCCCACAAGCCCCCUAUCCGCCUCUGGUGUCUUGGUGCAGUUGUAGAAGAUAAGGUUCAGAUUGACAGGGCUGAUCGAGAAUGGAAGGCUGACUUUGGAGGAGGUGUUAGCAGUCAGAACAUGGCAGCCCUUUGAGUCGGAUGUGCUGAAAUCUGCAACCUUGUGGAUAUCGGCGACAAGCAAGGAGCUGUUGUCAUAGAAGAUGUCGAGAAUCCGGAACCGGUACUUACGCCGGUAGUACCCGAGGUAUGGGACGCUGUUGUUGCAAUGGACCUGGAAGCCCAGUCGGCCGCAUUUUGUAUCAGUUGCCUGCUCCGGGACGAAUCCGAAUGGGUCCGCGAUAGUCAGGUUGCCGCAUGUCUUGGGCGAGCAGUUAGCCCCUUGAUCAACUGGUUCAAUGGCUGCUGCUAUCUGUGAAAGAGUCAUGCACAGCAAGAGCAAGCUGAUGGAGGACAUUGGAGCAGAGGUGAUAAAAGCGUGGAGAUAAGAGUUCGGAGAUGCACACAAGGAGGUAGGAAUGGGGGUGGAUAUGAAGUACUUGUUGGCUGGCCGAUCAUUGAGCAGUGGAGUGCCCGAAGGGCAAGUCUUGACCAUGAAGUUUUUUUUUGAAAUGUUGACCAUGGAGUUGAUACGACUGAAGUCUGAACCACAACCACCACACAGUGACUGAUCGAGUAUGCUUUUGAUCACAACGCCAUGGUCGUAUUGGCUAGCUUAAUCCAGUCACCGU